UUAUUAUGAAUGCAAGUGGUGAUGUUUCCUUGUGUAUUUUUUUUUGCCGUAAGUAGUAGUGCGCCUAUUAAACGAACAAAAUAUUACGCGUGCUCUUCCUCAGAUUUAAGUACAACUAUACUGUGGCAUAUGCUGCUGUGAUGUCAGCACAGCCAGAGGAAAUGGUACAGGGAGAUAAAUGCAGGACCAGGUCACCUCCCUCCUCAUCCUCAAGUGAUAUCAGGCAGCUCAUUACCACCAAACAUUCUAGUGAUUGCUAACUAACCAUAGGGUAGGGCAGCCUGAGAUGUGUUCCAGAAUAACGGAGUGCUCAACAGCAGUACAGGUUUUAUAAAUAAUGGGAUGCAGGGACUGAGAAAAGUCAAUUGUCGAAUGCUUCAUGUAUGUUCAAACUUAGCACUGAUUGUGCACAUAGCAGGAUUGAGUGGUUACCUUACCAACCAAUGUAAUGAGACUACAAGAACAGUAUUAUGAAGUAGAAUGAAAUAUUUAAACCCAGAUAACCAAGACUGAUUAUAAACCUACUAUGUUGUUUAACAUUAGGUUGACAGUCUAUCUACAUAACAAUUUUUUAUUAUAGUUUCAAUGUUUAUUAAGAAUCCACUACAUGUUUCAACCUUAACUGAUAAUCUUCCGGUGGUUUUCUUUAAGUGUUCAAAAUUAAUAGAUAUGACUGCUAAUUUCUAUACAUACUUUUUUAUGUAGUUGAGUUGAAUGGGUAAAGGUGACAGGUCAAGUUACACACCCAUGUAACACAACAGAUAAAAUUACAGCAAUAAAUCAAUUAAAGAAACUUAAAAGA